ensembl:misc_RNA 7SK 7SK RNA
GGAUGUGAGGGCGAUCUGGCUGCGACAUCUGUCACCCCAUUGAUCGCCAGGGUUGAUUCGGCUGAUCUGGCUGGCUAGGCGGGUGUCCCCUUCCUCCCUCACCGCUCCAUGUGCGUCCCUCCCGAAGCUGCGCGCUCGGUCGAAGAGGACGACCUUCCCCGAUAGAGGAGAGGACCGUUCUUCGGUCAAGGAUAUACCAGUAGCUGCGCUCCCCUGCUAGAACCUCCAAACAAGCUCUCAAGAUUUUACUCAUUUUUUUGACAGAGAGAGAGAGAGAGUACACAAGUAGGGGGAGAAGCAGUCAGAGGGGUAGAAGCAGGCUCCCCAAUUAGCAGGGAGCCUGACAU